rnacentral:rRNA from 1 species
CCUACGGGGGGCUGCAGUGGGGAAUAUUGCACAAUGGAGGAAACUCUGAUGCAGCGACGCCGCGUGAACGAUGAAGGCCUUCGGGUCGUAAAGUUCUGUCCUAGGGGACGAUAAUGACGGUACCCUAGGAGGAAGCCCCGGCUAACUACGUGCCAGCAGCCGCGGUAAUACGUAGGGGGCGAGCGUUGUCCGGAAUUAUUGGGCGUAAAGGGUUCGUAGGCGGUAAUUUAAGUCAGAUGUGAAAGGCGCAGGCUCAACCUGUGUAAGCAUUUGAAACUGGAUUACUUGAGUUAAGGAGAGGAAAGUGGAAUUCCUAGUGUAGCGGUGAAAUGCGUAGAUAUUAGGAGGAAUACCAGUGGCGAAGGCGACUUUCUGGACUUAUACUGACGCUGAGGAACGAAAGCGUGGGGAGCAAACAGGCUUAGAUACCCUAGUAGUC